UACAGAGGUCUCAAGCGUUGUUCGGAUUCAUUGGGCGUAAAGGGUGCGUAGGCGGCGCGGUAAGUCGGGUGUGAAAUCCGUCGGAGCUUAACUCCGAAACUGCAUUCGAUACUGCCGUGCUUGAGGACUGGAGAGGAGGACUGGAAUUUACGGUGUAGCGGUGAAAUGCGUAGAUAUCGUAAGGAAGACCAGUGGCGAAGGCGGGUC
rnacentral:rRNA from 1 species